AACAGAACUUUUUCCUUGAAAUCGAAGCGUUUCGAAAAUGUUUACACCAAAUCCGUUAUAAAAAGCGGCGAGUUCUGGUACGAAAUCAUCUCUUCAUUCAGAAGUCAACAAAAUGAAUAAGUCAGCGCUUCUCCUCUUGCUUGUCAUCGGACUCCUUGUCCUAACCGAAACUACAAAUGCUGAUAACUGGAACGGGACAAGAUAUGAUCAGAAUGAGAUGCAAGAUAAUACUGAAGACCAUUUAAUUGAAUUGCUUGAAGAUAGCAUCAAGUGGGGGAAAUAUAAUCAGAAGCAGAUGCAAGAUAUAGCUGAGGAUCAUUUGAUAGAAAUGCUUCAGGAUCAUCUGGAUUCUGAGCAAGCCGAACUUGAUGAAUAAAUCAUCGAACAUAAAUGCCGACUUUUGGUUGUUAAUAUAUAAACAAACCACUCUGUAC